AAGGCAAUGAAUGCGGGGAAAGAACUUAGAAGACAUGCUAAAGGAUGCUCCAGACAAGCAGAACAGAAAGUUGGUGGGAGGCUUAUCACAGUGAGACUGUCUGUGUCAAUGGGAACAAGCUACACAAGACAGACGAAUGAAGGAAGAAGUUCAAGGGUGCUGCUAUAGUUUCAAAGGUGUUUAACAGACUGACCCAGAGAGAGACGAUUUGAUAAUGAAGGGAGUUAUGGGGGAAAUAGAUCAGAAAAAGGCCAACGCCCUGUAGAUGUCCAGAGAAUGCAGCCUUCUCUCCUCUUCUGAGACAUGUGGUUUAGGAAAAAAUGCAAGCCCAGGUCGUGACAGGUGGAAUGCACCAGAUCAAGAGACUGUUCUGCACUUGAUCCCGCGACCUGCCCUUGAUGAGCCAAUUGUCGAGAUAAGGAUAGACAUGGCCCCCCCG